GUUAGAAACUAAGAAUUGAACUAAUUUAAGAAUCAAUUAAAUUGUAAAUUUAUUUAAAUUUUAUGACU
rnacentral:tRNA from 1 species